UUCUACAGUUCUAUGGGAACCUGGUUCUAUGUUCUAUGUGUAACAAGAGAGACUGGUAAGCCAAAUGGUCACUCCGGGGUGACCCAGAGGAGGGAGCUACUGCAUCAGAAGAGACGGCUCAUCACCUACAGUGCCAAAGACCCUCACCGGGACACUGGGAUGGCCCGUCACCUACAGUGCCAAAGACCCUCACUGGGACACUGGGAUGGCCAUCACCUACAGUGCCAAAGACCCUCACUGGGACACUGGGAUGGCCGGUCACCUACAGUGCCAAAGACCCUCACUGGGACACUGGGACGAAGCAGGAGAUGUCAAUCUUGACUCCAAUCUCAACAGGCCUAGGUAGAAGAAUAUUCUUCACCUCUGGAAAGAGUGGCUGAUAGACAACGGAGCUUCCUGCCCACCUAUGGAAAGACACUUUUAACCUGUUCUAGACACCGAAAUACCUCAAACUACCCAACUCCUACACAAAACACUUCCUAAGGAGCUCCUUCUAUUGCUUUGGUGUCAUGCCCAGAUGCAAAGUUAAAUUUUACACUCAGCAUCUGCGUAUCAGUCACGAAUGCCGCAGCAUCUUGGAUGAAGGGGCAGGGCUUUGCCCUCGGCAGUGCCUGAGAUCAGCUUCUCCUUCAAGAAAACUCGGCGCUUCAGACGUGGCCACAAUCCUGCCCUGCAUCCCGCCAUCCUCGCCAACGGACUGAUCGUCAGGCUUCAGCUUGAUUCCCGGGUCGCCGCAGAGGGGCGCCAUGCCCGCUACCGCGGAGUCUCUCCGCGCCUCCCAGUAGCGUCCUCGCCCACCCUCCCUUCGCUCCCAACCACUCUCACUCGCCACGCCCGGCGUCCCGUCCCUGCCCCGCCCCCUCUCCCCAUCCAUCCCGGCCUCUGUUCCCGGUGCCCGGGCUCCGCAGGUCCCCCUUCCCUGCCCAGUCCUCUCCUCUGUUCUCCCCGUCCCCUGUCCCCGCCCUUCCCCCUCCCCAGAACGGCCCCGCUCCCACGUGACCCGCGAGCGGGCGCGGAGGGGACCCGAGCCGCGCACUAGAAUGUCCGGGAUUCCGAAGGCACCGUGGUAGCGACGGCGCGGCAGGCCACAGUGGGGACAGCGCAGCGGACAGCGGUGGGGACGUCGGGGCGGACCCAGGAGUGGACGGCGGGUGGGUCGCGGGGAGGAUCGGGGACGGCGCAGGCCGGGCUGACCGUACCUACCACGGGGCGCGAGGAGCGCCGCGUCCCGCCGCCGUCGCAACACCGCCGCGUCCUCCGCCUACGCGGCGGGACCCCCGCCCCGCGCCCGUCCCUCCUCCCGCGCGCCAGAAAGAGAAGAUGGCGCUCAGCUGCCUCAGGAAGUGACGUUGCCUUAUUUGCAUGCCGACGAGGCCAGCCAAUGGGUGUAGAGUGUGCCUGGGGACCCCCUGGGCUCAUCUCACGGGCCCCUCCAGGCCCCUGGACCCCGCGGGCCUCGAGGAUCUGGAGGGGGUGGGGCCUGCCGCAGCCCCCUCCCCUGGACCCCCUGGGUCUAGAGCCCUCUCCACCUCUGGGCUAGCUCUCGAGAUAGUUUGGGUUGGUGGUGACGUCAUUGAAGGGGUGGGGCGAUCCGUCCUCGACCACAUGACCAAUCACAUGGGUUCACCAGAGCUCUGCCCUCUUUUGCAUGGAAUGGGGGUGGAGCCAGUGGGAGCCUAGUGGGUGGCCCCGCCCAUACCUACAAACCAAUAAGAAGCCAGCCCUGAGGAUACUGGCUUGCCAUUGGAGGAUAGGACUUAGAAACUCUAGGAACUUGGACCAGUGUGCCUAUGAUUGACAUAUCUUGGUGAGCCAACGGGAUAGGAUCUCCUGACUCAUCAUUCUUCUUAAGAAAAUUUGUGUCACACCUUUUGAGAAUUUUGAGAAUUAAAGUUACAUCCAUACCACA